UCUUUUCAGGGGGAGUUAAUGCGCGUUGCACUCUUUUUCCCUUACAAGAUUUUGUCCCACUGGGUUUUCCUUGCAAGGUUUUUAACGAUGCAACAAAAAAAUGCAUUUUGUUAGAUAUGUGUACUAUUUUUCCUUUUCUAGAAUUUUUUUUCCCAUUGGGUUUUAUUUUAGUUAAGGUUUUAACGAGCCACAUUAUCUUUGGACAUCCAAGGGGGAGUGUUAUGAAAUAUUAGAUUAUGGUGGAUGUCCAUAACUCCUAUAACACCCACUACUUUUAUCCAUUAU
rnacentral:lncRNA from 1 species